GUAGGAGCCGGCUUGCUGGCGAUUCAGGCAAAGCGGCGGGUCAGAUGUACCGCGUCGCCUGAAUCGCCAGCAAGCCGGCUCCUAC
rnacentral:misc_RNA from 1 species